rnacentral:rRNA from 1 species
CAGUAGCCGCGGUAAUACGUAGGUGGCAAGCGUUGUCCGGAAUUAUUGGGCGUAAAGGGCUCGCAGGCGGUUUCUUAAGUCUGAUGUGAAAGCCCCCGGCUCAACCGGGGAGGGUCAUUGGAAACUGGGAAACUUGAGUGCAGAAGAGGAGAGUGGAAUUCCACGUGUAGCGGUGAAAUGCGUAGAGAUGUGGAGGAACACCAGUGGCGAAGGCGACUCUCUGGUCUGUAACCGACGCUGAGGAGCGAAAGCGUGGGGAGCGAACAGGAUUAGAUACCCGUGUAGUCCCUGUCUCUUAUAA